CAGUCGCCGCGGGAAUACGAGGGGAGCUAGCGUUGUUCGGAAUUACUGGGCGUAAAGCGCGCGUAGGCGGCUUUUUAAGUCAGAGGUGAAAGCCCGGGGCUCAACCCCGGAAUUGCCUUUGAAACUGGAAAGCUAGAAUCUUGGAGAGGUCAGUGGAAUUCCGAGUGUAGAGGUGAAAUUCGUAGAUAUUCGGAAGAACACCAGUGGCGAAGGCGACUGACUGGACAGGUAUUGACGCUGAGGUGCGAAAGCGUGGGGAGCAAACAGGAUUAGAUACCCCAGUAGUCCCUGUCUCUUAUAC
rnacentral:rRNA from 1 species